CCGAAUAGUUUUGGGUCCCUCCUGGGACCUAACGGAAAGACGGUUUCGGCUGUCACUGCAGGAUGGGCCCGCGGCGCAUUAGCUAGUUGGUGGGGUAACGGCCCACCAAGGCGACGAUGCGUACCCGACCUGAGAGGGUGAUCGGCCACUCUGGGACUGACACACGGCCCAGACUCCUACGGGAGGCAGCAGUAGGGAAUCUUCCGCAAUGGACGCAAGUCUGACAGACAACCCCGCGUGAGUGAUGAAGGUUUUCGGAUCGUAAAACUCUGUUGCGAGGGAAAAAACCGUGCCAACUAACUAUUGGCACCUUGACGGUACCUCGCCAGAAGCCACGGCUAUCUACGUGCCAGCAGCCGCGGUAAUACGUAGGUGGCAAGCGUUGUCCGGAAUUAUUGGGCGUAAAGCGCGCGCAGGCGGUCCCUUUAAGUCUGAUGUGAAACCCCACGGCUCCACCGUGGAGGGUCAUUGGAAAACUGGGGGGAACUUGAGUGCAGAAAAGGAAAGUGUAAUUCCCCGUGUAAGCGGAGAAAUGCGUAAAGAUGUGGGAGAAAACCCCUGGUGGAAAAGGCGUAUUUUCUGGUCUGUAACUGAACGCUGAGGCGAAAAAGCGGUGGGGAGGCCAACCGAGAAUUAACAUACCCCUUGG
rnacentral:rRNA from 1 species